GGGGAAUAUUGGACAAUGGGGGGAACCCUAAUCCAGCCAUGCCGCGUGUGUGAAGAAGGCCUUUUGGUUGUAAAGCACUUUAAGCGAGGAGGAGGCUACCUAGAUUAAUACUCUAGGAUAGUGGACGUUACUCGCAGAAUAAGCACCGGCUAACUCUGUGCCAGCAGCCGCGGUAAUACAGAGGGUGCGAGCGUUAAUCGGAUUUACUGGGCGUAAAGCGUGCGUAGGCGGCUUUUUAAGUCGGAUGUGAAAUCCCUGAGCUUAACUUAGGAAUUGCAUUCGAUACUGGGAAGCUAGAGUAUGGGAGAGGAUGGUAGAAUUCCAGGUGUAGCGGUGAAAUGCGUAGAGAUCUGGAGGAAUACCGAUGGCGAAGGCAGCCAUCUGGCCUAAUACUGACGCUGAGGUACGAAAGCAUGGGGAGCAAAC
rnacentral:rRNA from 1 species